rnacentral:antisense_RNA from 1 species
AAGUGCCUUUUGCCUUCCACCGUGAUUCUGAGGCCUCCCCCGCCAUGUGCAACUAACUGGGAAGAAAGGACCCUGAAAAGUUAGCUGGUUCCAAGUGACCCUCCAAGGGGAAGAGUGCUGGAUUCAGAGCCCACCUCUGGGGAAGACAGGACCCUCUCCAAGGUGGCUUCCCUAGAAGCUACUACUUCUCCCUGGAGGGUGGAGAUAUUUGCUGGUCAAAGCAAGAAGGCCCUCUGCAGAUGCUGACAACUUGAUAUUGGAUUUCCCAGAUUCCAGAACUCUGAGAAAUAAAUUUCUAUUUUAAAUAAA